rnacentral:rRNA from 1 species
AGAUUGAACGCUGGCGGCAUGCCUAACACAUGCAAGUCGAACGGGAGUAGCAAUACUCUAGUGGCGGACGGGUGAGGAAUACGUAGGAAUUUGCCCUUAAGUGGGGGAUAACCCGGGGAAACCCGGAUUAAUACCGCAUGACCUCGAAAGAGCAAAGUGGGGGAUCGCAAGACCUCACGCUUUUGGAGAAGCCUACGUCGGAUUAGCUAGUUGGUGAGGUAAUGGCUCACCAAGGCGACGAUCCGUAACUGGUCUGAGAGGAUGAUCAGUCACACCGGAACUGAGACACGGUCCGGACUCCUACGGGAGGCAGCAGUGGGGAAUAUUGGACAAUGGGCGCAAGCCUGAUCCAGCAAUGCCGCGUGUGUGAAGAAGGCCGUUCGGGUUGUAAAGACGACUUUAAGUAGGGUAAGAAAAAACUACGUACUACUAACAACAGUGAGUCUAGUACGUACCGACAGAAUAAGCACCGCUAACUCUGUCGCAGCAGCCGACGGUAAUCGUGA